CCUACGGGAGGCAGCAGUGAGGAAUAUUGGACAAUGGGCGCAAGCCUGAUCCAGCCAUGCCGCGUGCAGGAAGACGGUCCUAUGGAUUGUAAACUGCUUUUAUACAGGAAGAAACACCUCUACGUGUAGAGACUUGACGGUACUGUAUGAAUAAGCAUCGGCUAACUCCGUGCCAGCAGCCGCGGUAAUACGGAGGAUGCAAGCGUUAUCCGGAAUCAUUGGGUUUAAAGGGUCCGUAGGCGGUUUAAUAAGUCAGUGGUGAAAGCCCAUCGCUCAACGAUGGAACGGCCAUUGAUACUGUUAAACUUGAAUUAUUAGGAAGUAACUAGAAUAUGUAGUGUAGCGGUGAAAUGCUUAGAGAUUACAUGGAAUACCAAUUGCGAAGGCAGGUUACUACUAAUAUAUUGACGCUGAUGGACGAAAGCGUGGGGAGCGAACAGGAUUAGAUACCCUGGUAGUCCACGCCGUAAACGAUGGAUACUAGCUGUUCGGAGCAAUCUGAGUGGNGUAGAGAAGUAGAGUAAGUAUACCACCGUCGGGUAGGUACGGUUCGUCGAAGAAGUAGAAACGUACAAAUAAGUAAGUUAGUACGGACGUAGAGACGUUACGCCGACGGACGACGACGAGGGGAGGUAGGGAG
rnacentral:rRNA from 1 species